UUUUUUGUUUAUUUUUUAAAAAGAAAUACAGGGAAAUGGAUUGCCCUUCAAUGCUGAGAACACUGUCAUUCGCAGUGAAGAAGACUUCUUAACACUUCUGUUUCUGAGGUUUCUGUUUUCGUGAAGCAGAGGCACUGGCUUUACCUUACAGCUCACCAAACAGUCUUCCAUUGAGGAAAUGUGUUACAGAUCGACUGUUCUGGCAAACUACAUGUCCAGGCACAUUCUUUGUGCUGAAGCCCAUGUAGCAUUUGUGAAAGAUUUUGUACAUGGGAAAAACACUAAUAAUUGUUCUGCUUCCAGUGGAGGCGGGGGGGAAAGGGGCACCCUUUGAGCUGUCAUUAAGACCUUAGAGAACUACUAUAACAGAGCUCUUCAAUUGGCCAUGCACAUCUUACACACUGAGGCAUGGCACCACAACACCUCCCUCCUGUAGGGUCAGGCUUACUCACUGGGUUCCCCAAAGCAUCCCUCCUUAGGCUUCUGCCAAGCGAGAAUCUUCUCCAGCCAUCUGAGUUUGUAGAAGUCAGAGAAGCCAGACAUGCCACAGAGCAUAACUAGGGGAAAUUAAAUGGCACAGAAAACCACAGCUGUUUUUGUCAUUAUGGUUUCACAUGCUUGAUCUCCAGCAAGAAACAUGCCCAUAAAGCUUAAUUAAAAUCAUGCCACCUUAAUGCUAAAAAUCAUCGUUAACAACAGAGUUAGGCAAAUAAACUCCAAGUUUGGAAAUAGUGUCCAUUAAAGUAUAGUUAAGGUAACUAAACUAUAAACUUUAUACAUCUUAAUUUUGGAUAAAAAUUUAGCUUGUAAAAUUAAAGAUAAACAUUUGAGGCUGAAGUUUUAAAUGUUGUAUAACUGAUUAAUGUCCCAAAUCUUUCUUCAGUUUUCUUAGAUGAUUCAUUGCUACUGAAGAAAAAGCUUAGCUUUCUUUAUUUCACAAUAACAUUUACAGCAUUGUUGGUUAACUGAGAAGAGAUUACGUACUGUUUUCCAUGAAGAGGUCUCGAGAAGAAGACUCAAAUCCAUUGCUUUCGAUCUGCAAGUUUAUUUUCAUCAUGCUAGCACAGAAAAUAUUCUUGUAAUACUGGCUCGUCAGGAACAGAUGAUCAGAGCAUCCUUUCUAGAUACAGAAAAAAAUUGACUAUUGUGCUACAUUUUUUUUUUUUCCCCCUCUAAAUUGGAUUCGGGAAGAGAGGCUCUAAGAGUUGUGAACUGCAAUUGGAAAUCUUAUACUGGAUUCAAAUAUUUUGUGACAACUCAAAUGUUAUUUUUUUUAGCAGGAUGCAUCUCAUGGACUAUAGGAUCCUUACAGCAUAAUGUGUCCCGCUUUGAGUGAAUGUCCAACCUUGAGUGAAUGGAAAAGAAUAUCAUUAUAUGGUACCUACACAGCAGGUGCUUGUGACAACGCAGGACUUGCCAUUCUCUUUCCUGUUUAAGAAUAGCAACACAGAUGGAGUUGGAGAGUCUGCUAAAGGAAGGCCUAUUCCUGAUCUGUACAAUUGCAGGGCACAGUAACUCUCAUGUCCUGCUUGCCAGCAGACAACAGAGAAGUCUUAUAAAACAGUGGCUGUAAGAAAGGAUCCAGCAAUACCACAGAAACAUACCACGUUCCUAGCAAAUACGUAUAGCACGUGUCACUUGUUUUCUCUGUAAAACACUUGGAACUACCAAAUGAAGUAUAGGCCAGCAAGGUAUCCGUUUGGUUCCAUGAAUGGGGAAAGACCCAGAAAUGUGGUCCUAAAAUUGGUGCAAAUUCUGAAAGCAAAUCAAAGAAGAGAGCCUGUAAUUAGUGGUAUAGUCAAAGGAGAUCUCGGGCCCUGCCUGAUUUCUUCAGUCUGUCUACACCCAAAGGUACCUUUGCAUGCAUCUGCACAUUGCCUUUCUAUAGCUUUCAGAGCUGAAUAUCCCUACUGUGCAGACCUGCCUUUAGUGCUUUUCUCCAGGCCACCCAAAAAAUCAGCAGCAGACUUCCAAGAAUUAGUAUUUGUGUUUCCAUUUGGGCUCACUAGCCAUUUCUUUCUAAGUACUCUCAGGAUGGAUACCAAACUCUAAGUAAACUCUUUCUUUUCAUUAA